UGAGGAAGAUAAUGACGGUACUCAACAAGGAAGUGACGGCUAACUACGUGCCAGCAGCCGCGGUAAAACGUAGGUCACAAGCGUUGUCCGGAAUUACUGGGUGUAAAGGGAGCGCAGGCGGGAGAACAAGUUGGAAGUGAAAUCCAUGGGCUCAACCCAUGAACUGCUUUCAAAACUGUUUUUCUUGAGUAGUGCAGAGGUAGGCGGAAUUCCCGGUGUAGCGGUGGAAUGCGUAGAUAUCGGGAGGAACACCAGUGGCGAAGGCGGCCUACUGGGCACCAACUGACGCUGAGGCUCGAAAGUGUGGGUAGCAAACAGGAUUAGAUACCCUGGUAGUCCACACCGUAAACGAUGAUUACUAGGUGUUGGAGGAUUGACCCCUUCAGUGCCGCAGUUAACACAAUAAGUAAUCCACCUGGGGAGUACGACCGCAAGGUUGAAACUCAAAGGAAUUGACGGGGGCCCGCACAAGCAGUGGAGUAUGUGGUUUAAUUCGACGCAACGCGAAGAACCUUACCAAGUCUUGACAUCCUGCGACGCACAUAGAAAUAUGUGUUUCCUUCGGGACGCAGAGACAGGUGGUGCAUGGUUGUCGUCAGCUCGUGUCGUGAGAUGUUGGGUUAAGUCCCGCAACGAGCGCAACCCUUAUGGUCAGUUACUACGCAAGAGGACUCUGGCCGGACUGC
rnacentral:rRNA from 1 species